AGCACUAAAUACCAGCAAAGAAUUAAAAAGAAAAGGAAGAAGAAAGGAGGAGGAGGAGGAGAAGAUGACGAUGAAGGCAAAUGAAUAUAAAGGGAUGUUUGUUCUUCAUGUGGUCUGAGACUAUACCCCAAUACUGUGGGCUGAAGAACAGAGAAAAGAUAUCCUCAGAAAGAAAACAGGAGGAAAGCAAAAUGGAGACCAAGGAUAGACCAGAGUCACUUCCUCAAGACCGUCAUUUACAUCUAGGAGUUUGAGGGGGAAAGAAGACAUCAAAACUGGACUCUCAGUAAUACCCACAGUCUGAAGCCAAAGAUUACCUACAGUCCUGUAGGGAAAGGUAUCCCAACAGAAGAAUUACAUCUCUGUUCCUGUGGGGGACAGUUUCCCCAACAAAGUGUUACAGUCCUUGGAAAGGUUUUCCUAAUGCAAGUGCAGCAACUCUGCUCCAGAGGAAUGUUACAGCUCUGCUCUGCUUAGGGAGCUUCCCAGCAGAAAUGUAGCAGUUCUGUUCUACUCUCCUCCACUAUGGCUCUUCUGAAGUAAGUGAACGCUGAAAUGGUUGGAGAGAAAUUUCUAGAUGUGGGUCUUGAAGGUGGAAAUUUGAGAGAAUAAAGCAUUGAACGCGAAACCUGAGCCAAAGCAUAGAGAUGAGAACAUGAUCUGUUUUGCAGAGGAGUGAUCCACCUUUCUAGACUCUAGUGUGUGCCAGAAACUGUGGGAAACUGCGCAGCAAACGGUCAAUGAGGUUGAGUCAGGCUACAGCAAGCUCAGAAUGGUCUUUUGUGGGUUGUGACUGCAGUCUUCACAAUGACCCAUGACAUCACCUUACGGCUCAGCUACUCUGCUACUUGGACGUUAUUUAACCUGGCUAAAAACACCUUCAAUCCCAGCACUUGGAAGGCAGAGGCAGGUGGAUCUCUGUGAGUUCAAGACCAGCCUGAUCUACAAGAGCUAGUUCCAGGACAGCCUCCAAAGCCACAGAGAACCCCCCCUCAAAAAAACCCACUAGGAAUGAGGGUUUCAAACUUCAAGGAAGAAUCCUGAAUAAUUGGACUUAAGAUGCUUCUGAGACUGGCCUUUAAUUUGAAGGACAGGGAGAGGGGCUGAUCUAGUUUAAGUGCUGGGCAGGCCUGUGUGAUGACAGAGACUCGCGAUUGUAGAUGAAAAGAAUCCUAUCACGAAGAAGAGCUAGAACCAACCUUGGCC